UUAAGUCAGAUGUGAAAGACCCGGGGCGUUAACCUCGGAAUUGCAUUUGAAACUGGCAGGCUAGAGUCUUGUAGAGGGGGGUAGGAAGUUUCAGGUGUAGCGGUGAAAUGCGUAGAGAUCUGAAGGAAUACCAGUGGCGAAGGCGGCCCCCUCGGACAAAGACUGACGCUCAGAUGCGAAAGCGUGGGGAGCAAACAGGAUUAGAUACCCCUGGUAG
rnacentral:rRNA from 1 species